AUGACGAGCAGCGCUGAAUGGCUUGAGAAGAACUUUGGCCUGUUCUCUGGCUAUGCUACUGUGGAGUUUUUAGAAGCCCUGAAUGUGAAUUUCUCCAGUUUGGGAUCGCUGUCACUGCUGAACCCUACUCAAGUAGCUGAAAUCACCCUGAGCUCUGGAGCGCUAAACAACACUGAUCAGAUCGUGGUUGUGUUUGACCGGCUGGAGAAAGGCGACGCUUUCCUGAACAUGAAGGAAUUUCUGACAGAACUAAAUGCAGCUCCAGAGGCAAGUCAAUCUGCUGAAAUGUGUGGCAUAGACCGUGUGGAUGCCCCAGAGAAAGGUGUAGAAUAGGAGGCUUUCUUGCGGUGCCACUCACACUCCUGUUGUUGUGUCUCUACAGAUUCCUGUCAUCAGCCCUGCUGUGAGUGACGUGAUGAUGAACCGCACCUUCGCAAUCAUUGAAGGCUAUUUCCGGAAAUUUGAGACUCACGAUUGGGUGGUGUGGUUCACCGUGAAUCUCGUUCCCAUCCUCCCCAGUUUCACCACAGAAAUGCUGGUUAAGGUCACAGCUUCAGUCAACUGCACCGACUACCGUGUGAUGUGAGUUUCUAACUUCAGAGUGAGAAUGUUUUUCAGCCUGCACCAGGAUCUCCACCUCAUGACCCCUCUUUGGCUUUGUGUUGCAGAGUUAAGGGAUUGGGAAUCAAUUUCCAGAGAAUGACAUUUACCAGGAGGCAGGAGAUAACCAAUGUUCUGGUCGAGCACCUAAAGACAACUGCUGCCAAAUUCAGCAUGCCAGGUAAACCUUCCAGAACACCUUUUUCCAGCAUCUCCUUGUUGCUGGAAGGGAAUGGGUUGCAAUAUAAAUAUUUUUUCUUAGACAACAGGCCAGGGUGUGUGUUGUGUCCCCUGUUGUGUGCAUGAUGCAGGCUGACCUUCCUCCAUCCUUGUCUUUAAAAAAUCAGGUUGCAGACAGAAAACUGAAAGCGCUGCUGAAUGGCUCGACACCAACUUGGGUCGAUUCUCCUCUUCAGCCAGUUACUCAGACCUCAAGUCCCUGAACAUUAGCAUGGUAACGUACCAUC
ensembl:lincRNA